UACGUAGGGUGCAAGCGUUACUCGGAAUUACUGGGCGUAAAGCGUGCGCAGGCGGUUUUGCAAGACAGAUGUGAAAUCCCCGGGCUCAACCUGGGAAUUGCAUUUGUGACUGCACGGCUAGAGUGUGUCAGAGGGGGGUAGAAUUCCACGUGUAGCAGUGAAAUGCGUAGAGAUGUGGAGGAAUACCGAUGGCGUAGGCAGCCCCCUGGGAUAACACUGACGCUCAUGCACGAAAGCGUGGGGAGCAAACAGG
rnacentral:rRNA from 1 species